rnacentral:rRNA from 1 species
GGGUUUACUCAUUGGUCAGGCUUAAUUGUCUGUACUGGUGAGAUGAGUCUCUACCUUCUGAGGAACUUUCAUGCCAUUUAUUUGGUGUGGUUGGAAAUCAGGACUGUUACUUUGAAAAAAUUAGAGUGUUUAAAGCAGGCUAACGUCUGAAUACAUUAGCAUGGAAUAAUGAAAUAGGAC